UCUUAAUGUACAUAUCCUCCACCAAAACACUACCAUCUUUCUCCUUAAUGCACCUCACUUGAUCGAGGUCAUGAACCUUCAGCUUCUGAGCCUUAGCAAGCCUAUACAACCUCUCUUCCCCUUCUUUCUCCUCUAACCCCGAAUACAAGCUCUCGAACGCGGCUGACUUAGCAGUCGUAACUACUAACUUAGCCUCUUUCCUUGUUACUUUAUAAACCUCCCUAUUCACCCGAUUCUCCUCUUCAUAUUUACUCUCACUCAACUUAACAUAUGCCCUCUUCUUAAUCUCUACUUUCUUCUUCACUUCUUUAUUCCACCACCAAUCCCCCUUACGAUGACCUUCCUGGCCUCUCAAAACACCCAACACUUCUCUAAUAGUCUCCGUGAUGCAACUGGAAGCCCUAUCACAUAUAACAUCCACGUUCCCCUGUACUCCCACACCCCCAUUCCCGCUACUUUUUUCUCUAUCUCCAGAGCACUAACUGGCGUCAAGCCACCCUACAUAAUUCUAGGUCAACCCUCCCCGGCCUUUCUCUUCUUGCUCUUCUUGAUAGAUAAGUUCAUCACUAGAAGCCUGUAAUGGGUCAAAAGAUGCUCACUCGAAAUGACUCUACAGUCCUUACAUAACACCCUAUCCCCCUUCCUAAGCAGCAGAAAUUCAAUCUGAGUCUUGGGUAUAGCGCUUCAAAAGGUAAUCAGAUGAUCC
rnacentral:lncRNA from 1 species